UUGCUGGUGAGUAUUUGCUUCAGGUUUGGGGGCUGUCUGUAAGAGCGGACUGGCCUGUCUCCCAAGAUCUGUGAGAGUGAGGGAUUGUCCUUCAGGAUAGGUUAUAGAUCCUUGAUGAUAUGCUGGAGAGGUUUUAGUUGGGAGCUGUAGGUGACGGUUAGUGGUGUUCUGUUACUUUCUUUGUUG